rnacentral:rRNA from 1 species
UUUGAAAUUUAUAUUUUAGUAAAAAAGCUAAAAUUAUUUAUAGGGACGAGAAGACCCUAUCAAGUUUUACAAUCUAAAAUUUAUUUUCAAAUUAAAUUUAAAAUUGUUUUGCUGGGGCAGCAGAUAAAAAGUUUUUAUUUAAAAAUUAUGAUAAAUAAAUCUUGAAAAAUCAAAAAAUUUUUAAUCAAAAAUAAAUUACUGUAGGGAUAACAGCAUAAUUUUUUUAGAGAGUUCUUAUCAUCAAAAAAGUUUGUGACCUCGAUGUUGGAUUAAAAUUCCUAAUUCGUGCAAUAAUGAAAUAA